rnacentral:rRNA from 1 species
UCGAGCGGCACACGAAUACUUGUGCUGGUUUGCUGAGCAGUGGAGGACGGGUGAUGACGUCUGGCAGACUGCCUGAGGGAGGUAGAGUCCUACUGGAGACGGUAAUUACUACUGCAUAACGUCGCAAGACCUGGGAGGGGGACCUUCCGCCCUCUUGCCAUCGAAUGUGCCCCGAUGUAAUUAGUUGGUUGGGGGGGGAACGGCUCACCAAGGCAACCAUCCCUGGCUGGACAGAAAGGACGACCACCCUGACUGUGACUGACACACGGUACUCACUCCUACGGGAGGCAUGGUGGUAAUUAUUGCUGGUGGGCGCCUGCCUGAUGCAUGCAUGCCGCGUGAUGAAGAAUGCCUUCUGGUUGUAACUUACUUUCGGGGGAAGGAAGGGAACCUAGUUAAUACCUUUGCUCAUUGACGUUACCCGCUAAAGAACCACCGGCUAACUCCGUGCCAGCCGCCGCGAUACUACGGAGGGUGCAAGCGUUAAUCAUUAAUUGCUGGGCGUAAAGCGCACGCAGGCGUGUUGUUAAGUAUGAUGUGACCUCGCCGUCAUCCUGCUGACAGCUGCCUCUGAUGCUGGCUACUUGAUUCUCGAAGAGGGGGGAAUAACUCGAGGAGUAGCGAUGAGCUGCGAUAUGAUCUGGAGGAAUACCGGUGAAGAAGGCCGCCCGCUGUGACGACUGACUGACGAUCAGGUACGACAGCGUGAGCAGCAAACAUGA